AUAAACGCUGGCGGCGCACAUAAGACAUGCAAGUUGAACGGACUUAAUCGAAAUAUUUAUAUUUUGAAGCGGUUAGUGGCGGACUGGUGAGUAACGCGUAAGGAACCUGCCUAUUAGAGGGGAAUAACAGUGAGAAAUCAUUGCUAAUACCGCAUAUGCCAUAGAUAUCACAUGAUAACAGUGGGAAAGGAGCAAUCCGCUAAUAGAUGGCCUUGCGUCUGAUUAGAUAGUUGGUGGGGUAACGGCCUACCAAGUCGACGAUCAGUAGCCGGACUGAGAGGUUGAAUGGCCACAUUGGGACUGAGAUACGGCCCAGACUCCUACGGGAGGCAGCAGUCGGGAAUAUUGCGCAAUGGAGGAAACUCUGACGCAGUGACGCCGCGUAUAGGAAGAAGGUUUUCGGAUUGUAAACUAUUGUCGUUAGGGAAGAGAAAGGACAGUACCUAAGGAGGAAGCUCCGGCUAACUACGUG
rnacentral:rRNA from 1 species